rnacentral:rRNA from 1 species
AGAAUGAACGCUAGCGAUAUGCUUAACACAUGCAAGUUGAACGUUGUUUUCGAAUCAGAAUGAGAACAAAGUAGCGAACGGGUGCGUAACACGUGGGAAUCUGCCGAACAGUUUGGGCCAAAUCCCGAAUGAAUAAAAGCUAAAAAGCGCUGUUUGAUGAGCCCACGUAGUAUUAGGUAGUUGGUUAGGUAAAAGCUGACCAAGCCUACGAUGCUUAGCUGGUCUUUUCGGAUGAUCAGCCACACUGGGACUGAGACACGGCCCAGACUCCUACGGGAGGCAGCAGUGGGGAAUCUUGGACAAUGGGCGAAAGCCUGAUCCGGCAAUAUGGCGUGAGUGAAGAAGGGCAACGCAGCUUGUAAAGCUCUUUCAUCGAGUGUGCGAUUGUGACAAGACUCGAAUAAGAAGCCCCGGCUAACGUCCGUGCCAGCAGCCGC